GACGAACCGUGCGAACGUUGUUCGGAAUCACUGGGCUUAAAGGGCGCGUAGGCGGCUUGGCAAGUCCGGGGUGAAAGCCCCCAGCUCAACUGGGGAAGUGCCUUGGAUACUGCCGAGCUCGAGCGAGAUAGGGGUCGUGGGAACUUCCGGUGGAGCGGUGAAAUGCGUUGAUAUCGGAAGGAACGCCGGUGGCGAAAGCGCACGACUGGAUCUCUUCUGACGCUGAGGCGCGAAAGCCAGGGGAGCAAACGGG
rnacentral:rRNA from 1 species